UCUAAAACCCCCUUUUCCCAAAUUCGUUUCUGCCUUCUCUCUAGCCUCCACACUGAUUUAGCCAUUGCAUGUUCUGUUAGGUGGUACCCUAGCGACCGUCUCGUAGAAAGCUUCAAAACCAUCCGAUUGAUUUUACGUUCUUCAACCGGGCACUGCUUAAGUUCUUCCCGGAGUAGGAUACUGUUGAAAGUUGUGUUGUGUGCUAGACUGCUCAACUUUAAGUAGGUGAUGAUGUACCUUUGGAGCAAGCUUUGGAAGUUGAGGAAGACCCAGCCCCUAGUGCU